rnacentral:rRNA from 1 species
ACGGCGAGUGAAGAGGAAAGAGCUCAAAGUUGGAACCUGUUUGGCUUAGCCAAACCGGAUUGUAAACUGUAGAAGUGUUUUCCAGACACGCCUGGUAAAAAAGUCCUUUGGAACAGGGCAUCAUAGAGGGUGAGAAUCCCGUCUUUGGCCAGAGCUGUUGUCUUUUGUGAUACAUUUUCAAAGAGUCAGGUUGUUUGGGAAUGCAGCCUAAAUUGGGUGGUAAAUCUCACCUAAAGCUAAAUAUUUGCGAGAGACCGAUAGCGAACAAGUACCGUGAGGGAAAGAUGAAAAGAACUUUGAAAAGAGAGUUAAACAGUAUGUGAAAUUGUUAAAAGGGAACCGUUUGGAGCCAGACUGGCUUGAUCGUAAUCAAUCUAAGCUUCGGCUUGGAUGCACUUGCGGUCUUUGCCUGCCAACGACAAUUUUUUUUGGAGGAAAAAACCAGGAGAAACGUGGCCCCUCGGGGUGUUAUAGUCUCUUGGAAAAUACUCUGAAUUGGAUUGAGGAACGCAGUGAAUGCCUUUAGGCAAGAUUGCUGGGCGCUUUCGCUAAUAGAUGUUAGAAUUUCUGCCUCGGGUGGUGCUGAUGUCUAGCAGAGAAACUCGCUUAGUAUAUUUUUUAUUCGCUUAGGUUGUUGGCUUAAUGACUCUAAAUGAC